rnacentral:rRNA from 1 species
UUGGUCAUUUAGAGGAAGUAAAAGUCGUAACAAGGUUUCCGUAGGUGAACCUGCGGAAGGAUCAUUACCUAGAGUUGUAGGCUUUGCCUGCUAUCUCUUACCCAUGUCUUUUGAGUACCUUACGUUUCCUCGGUGGGUUCGCCCACCGAUUGGACAAACUUAAACCCUUUGCAGUUGAAAUCAGCGUCUGAAAAAACUUAAUAGUUACAACUUUCAACAACGGAUCUCUUGGUUCUGGCAUCGAUGAAGAACGCAGCGAAAUGCGAUAAGUAGUGUGAAUUGCAGAAUUCAGUGAAUCAUCGAAUCUUUGAACGCACAUUGCGCCCCUUGGUAUUCCAUGGGGCAUGCCUGUUCGAGCGUCAUUUGUACCCUCAAGCUUUGCUUGGUGUUGGGCGCCUUGUCUACUCCUUUAGCAGGUAGACUCGCCUUAAAGUAAUUGGCAGCCAGUGUUUUUGGCAGUAAGCGCAGCACAUUUUGCGUCUUAGUCCCCAAACAGUGGCAUCCACAAAGCCUCUUUCUCACUUUUGACCUCGGAUCAGGUAGGGAUACCCGCUGAACUUAAGCAUAUCAAUAAG